rnacentral:rRNA from 1 species
AUGGUACCCAAUACUUCCAUUCUCCGAUUGUUCUCUCCUCACGUCGCAAUCCACCGCUGGACCUCGACAUCGGCCUACAGAGUGGCUCAUACUUCUUCCGCAUCCCAGAUCAGCAGCUUCCUUUCUAAAAGGGUCUAUACGCCGCCGCCUUGGGCUUCAGACCUCUCCGUCAUCCCAUCCCACAACUACACCCUCGGCCAAUUUCCAACUCCAAUUCACAAAUGGAACCUCCCCAAUUUGCCAAAAGGCACAGAAGUAUGGAUCAAGCGGGAUGAUCUCACUGGCAUGGAACUGAGCGGGAAUAAAGUUCGGAAGCUCGAAUUUCUGAUGGCAGAUGCCGUUGCACAGGGUGCCGAUUGUGUUAUCACUAUCGGUGGUAUCCAGAGCAACCAUUGCCGAGCGACUGCCGUCGCUGCCAAGUACGUUAAUCUUGAUUGCUAUCUGGUACUUGUUACCUCCAAGCUUCUUGUGAACGAAGAUCCUGGUUUGGUUGGUAAUCUCCUUGUCGAGAGAUUAUUGGGAGCGCACAUUGACCUUGUCUCGAAAAGAGAUUUUGUUAAAAUUGGGGGUUUGGCUUUAACUGACUUGCUAAAAAAGAGGCUUUUGGAAAAAGGACGGAAGCCAUAUGUGAUUUCUGGUGGUGGAUCCAACUCAUUGGGAGAUUGGGGAUAUAUUGAAGCAGUAAGGGAGAUUGAGCAGCAAAUUCAGUUAUCUGGUGAUGUUCAGUUUGAUGACAUUGUUGUUGCAUGCGGCAGUGGUGGAACCGUUGCUGGUCUUGCUUUAGGAUCACAAUUGAGUAGCAUAAAGGCAAAAGUCCAUGGAUUCUCUGUUUGUUAUAACCCUGGAUACUUCUAUGACAAUGUACAAGGUCUCAUUGAUGGACUUCAACCUGAUUUGAAUUCCCAUGAUAUAGUCAGGAUUGAAGAUGCUAAGGGCUUAGGCUAUGCCAUGAGCACACCUGAAGAGCUUAAAUUUGUGAAGGAUAUAGCUGCAGCAACAGGCAUUGUGCUUGAUCCAGACAUGCACGGUUUUGUUUUUUAUAGCGGCAAGGCAGCGUGUGUUAUGCUGAAAGACAUGUCCAACAAUCCAACCAAGUGGGAAGGGCGGAAGGUCCUCUUUGUCCAUACUGGUGGUCUCCUUGGGUUGUAUGAUAAGGUGGAUCAGUUGUCAUGUUUGGCUGGGAGAUGGCGCAAAAUGGACCUUGAAGAAUUGAUCCAUGCAAAGGGGGAAUGGCGGACCCAGGAACUUGUUGAAGCUUAG